rnacentral:rRNA from 1 species
GGCUAGUCUUGUAUUGGAAUGAUGGGAAUUUAAACCUCUUCCAGAGUAUCAAUUGGAGGGCAAGUCUGGUGCCAGCAGCCGCGGUAAUUCCAGCUCCAAUAGCGUAUAUUAAAAUUGUUGCAGUUAAAAAGCUCGUAGUUGAAUUUCUGCUGCAUUGCUUGUGUCCCUCUGGGGUCUGUGCAUGUGGCUUUUUUCGGACGGAGUUUCUUUGUCUGAAUGUUUACUUUGAGAAAAUUAGAGUGCUCAAAGCAGGCUUUCGCCUUGAAUAGUUUAGCAUGGAAUAAUAAAGUAGGACUUUGGUUCUAUUUUGUUGGUUUUAGGUACCAAAGUAAUGGUUAAUAGGAACAGUUGGGGGCAUUCGUAUUUAACUGUCAUAGGUGAAAUUCUUAGA